rnacentral:rRNA from 1 species
CCCCGGGAGGGGAGUGAAAAAGAACCUGAAACCCUAUGUUUACAAGCUGUGGAACACCGCAAGGUGAACCGCGUACUUUUUGUAGAACGGUCCGGCGAGUUGCAUGUACUGGCAAGGUUAAGCACUAAAGGUGCGAAGCCGAAGAGAGAUCAAGUCUUAAUAGGGCGAAGAAGUCAGUGAAUGCAGACCCGAAACCGGGUGAUCUAUCCAUGUCCAGGUUGAAGUCAACGUAAAAGUUUAUGGAGGACCGAACCCACAUCCGUUGAAAAGGGUGGGGAUGAGGUGUGGAUAGGGGAGAAAUUCCAAUCGAACCCGGAGAUAGCUGGUUCUCCUCGAAAUAGUUUUAGGACUAGCCUUAAUUUAGUCUGAUGGAGGUAGAGCACUGAAUUUUUGCGGGGGCGUCAAAGCUUACCAAUGAAUAUCAAACUGCGAAUGCCAUACAGAUGAUGAUUAGGAGUCAGACUACACGAGAUAAGUUGGGUAGUCGAAAGGGAAAGAGCCCAGAUCUACGGCUAAGGUCCCAAAGUGAGUGUUAAGUGGAAAAGGAUGUAGGAUCUCAUAGACAACUAGGAUGUUGGCUUAGAAGCAGCCAUACAUUAAAAGAGUGCGUAAUAGCUCACUAGUCGAGAGGUUCUGCGCCGAAAAUGUCCGGGGCUAAAACACUACACCGAAGCCAAGGGAUGACGAAAGUCAUCGGUAGAGGAGCAAUCUUACCGACGUAGAAGCCAUACCGAAAGGAGUGGUGGAGAAGUAAGAAGAGAGAAUGCCGGAAUGAGUAGCGAGAGUGAGGUGAGAAUCCUCACGGCCAAAUACCCAAGGAUUCCAGAGUAAAGCUGAUCUGCUCUGGGUAAGUCGGGACCUAAGGCGAGGGAGAAAUCCGUAGUCGAUGGACAUCAGGUAUAUAAUCCUGAACUGCAUAUAAUCAGAAAUGUGGGGACACAGAGACUUAAGUCGAACCCGGGAGAGCAAAGACCGGGAUAAGCGAGGUAGCAGGUGGUAGGAAAAACCGCCACGAAAUGCGAAUGCGUGAUAUGUAGCGAAGAAAAGUAGCGAAGUCGAAUAGGGAGCUGUCAAGAAAAGCCGCUAUAGCGUUAUAUGUACCCGUACCGAAAACCGACACAGGUGGGUGAGGAGAGAAUCCUAAGGCCGGCGGGAGAAGCAUUGUUAAGGAACUCGGCAAAAUGACCCCGUAACUUCGGGAGAAGGGGUACCGAAAGGUCACAGAAAAAAGGCUCAAGCAACUGUUUAGCAAAAACACAGGUCUAUGCGAAACCGAAAGGUGAAGUAUAUGGGCUGACGCCUGCCCGGUGCUGGAAGGUUAAGAGGAGAAGUCAGGCAACGAAGCUUUGAAUUGAAGCCCCAGUAAACGGCGGCCGUAACUAUAACGGUCCUAAGGUAGCGAAAUUCCUUGUCGGGUAAGUUCCGACCCGCACGAAAGGCGUAAUGAUUUGAGCGCUGUCUCAACAAUGCACCCGGUGAAAUUGAAGUACCAGUGAAGAUGCUGGUUACCUGCGCCAGGACGGAAAGACCCCAUGGAGCUUUACUCCAGUUUGAUACUGGGGUUUGAUGAUGCAUGUACAGGAUAGGUGGGAGACUGCGAGGCGAGGACGCCAGUUUUCGCGGAGUCACUGUUGGGAUACCACCCUUGUAUCAUUGAAUUUCUAACCCAUGGCCGUAAACCGGUCAGGGGACAAUGUCAGAUGGGGAGUUUGACUGGGGCGGUCGCCUCCGAAAGAGUAUCGGAGGCGCUCAAAGGUUCCCUCAGAAUGGUUGGAAACCAUUCGAAGAGCGCAAAGGCAGAAGGGAGCUUGACUGCGACACCGACGGGUGGAGCAGGUACGAAAGUAGGACUUAGUGAUCCGGUGGUAU